GGUGGAGAAAGGUCUGCAUUACCCACUGGGGGGAUGAUGCAGCAAGAAGACCCACACCAGAUGAGGGCGCCUUGAUAUUGGAUUUCCCAGCCUCCAGAACUACAGAGUCUUGCUCUGUCACUCGGGCUGGAGUACAGUGACACAAUCACGGUUCACUGCAGCCUGGACCUCCCAGGCUCAAGUGAUCCCCCUGCUGCAGCCUCCUGAGUAGCUGGGACUACAGGCCUGUGCCACCAUGUCCAGGUCCGGUCCACUGCUAGGAGAUCCAUAUCUACUCUUUGGGAGUUCUCCAGAGGAAAAAAUCAACAGGCGGGAGAAAGAUACUCUGCUAGCUUCAGAUUCAUUAGUACUAGGAAAUGGAGAGAUAGGAGGUAUAAUGUAUUAGGGAAGCAAGGGAUUCAGAACCAGGUGCCCACUGACUCUGAGAAGCACUGGGUGCACAGAGGGUAGCAGACAAGCAAGAGGGUGGAAUUUGCAGCAUCUCAUCUUGGUGAGACAGUUGGAAGACUUUUCUGCCAAUUAUAGUGGUUAAACACUGACUCAACAUCAAACAACGGC
rnacentral:lncRNA from 1 species